UUACGGCCACAUCAUGUUGAAACACCGGUUCUCGUACGAUCACUGAAGUUAAGCAACGUCGAGCCUGGUCGAUACCUAGAUAUUUGGUCUCUUAGGAUUACCAGGUGCU